AAAGAAGGAAGUGCUGAUUCUGAGGAAAAAGACAUGGGCCCCGCUGGUUGUAUCUUCCUGCUCCCCCUUCUGCUGGGGAUCUCAGGUACCAAUGAGGAGGAACCAGAGAAUCUCCUAAAGUCAAUCUGUGGGCGGCCCGCAGUCUCAUCUGGCAUUGCCUCAGGCAGGGAGGCCAACGUGGGCCAGUGGCCCUGGCAGGUCAGCAUC